rnacentral:rRNA from 1 species
UUUUCAUCAGACAAUCUGUGUGAGCACUGCAAAGUACGCUUCUUUAAGGUAAGGAGGUGAUCCAACCGCAGGUUCCCCUACGGUUACCUUGUUACGACUUCACCCCAGUCAUGAAUCACAAAGUGGUAAGCGCCCUCCCGAAGGUUAAGCUACCUACUUCUUUUGCAACCCACUCCCAUGGUGUGACGGGCGGUGUGUACAAGGCCCGGGAACGUAUUCACCGUGGCAUUCUGAUCCACGAUUACUAGCGAUUCCGACUUCAUGGAGUCGAGUUGCAGACUCCAAUCCGGACUACGACGCACUUUAUGAGGUCCGCUUGCUCUCGCGAGGUCGCUUCUCUUUGUAUGCGCCAUUGUAGCACGUGUGUAGCCCUGGUCGUAAGGGCCAUGAUGACUUGACGUCAUCCCCACCUUCCUCCAGUUUAUCACUGGCAGUCUCCUUUGAGUUCCCGGCCGGACCGCUGGCAACAAAGGAUAAGGGUUGCGCUCGUUGCGGGACUUAACCCAACAUUUCACAACACGAGCUGACGACAGCCAUGCAGCACCUGUCUCACGGUUCCCGAAGGCACAUUCUCAUCUCUGAAAACUUCCGUGGAUGUCAAGACCAGGUAAGGUUCUUCGCGUUGCAUCGAAUUAAACCACAUGCUCCACCGCUUGUGCGGGCCCCCGUCAAUUCAUUUGAGUUUUAACCUUGCGGCCGUACUCCCCAGGCGGUCUACUUAACGCGUUAGCUCCGGAAGCCACGCCUCAAGGGCACAACCUCCAAGUAGACAUCGUUUACGGCGUGGACUACCAGGGUAUCUAAUCCUGUUUGCUCCCCACGCUUUCGCACCUGAGCGUCAGUCUUUGUCCAGGGGGCCGCCUUCGCCACCGGUAUUCCUCCAGAUCUCUACGCAUUUCNNNNNNNNNNNNNNNNNNNNCCUGGAAUUCUACCCCCCUCUACAAGACUCAAGCCUGCCAGUUUCGAAUGCAGUUCCCAGGUUGAGCCCGGGGAUUUCACAUCCGACUUGACAGACCGCCUGCGUGCGCUUUACGCCCAGUAAUUCCGAUUAACGCUUGCACCCUCCGUAUUACCGCGGCUGCUGGCACGGAGUUAGCCGGUGCUUCUUCUGCGGGUAACGUCAAUUGCUGCGGUUAUUAACCACAACACCUUCCUCCCCGCUGAAAGUACUUUACAACCCGAAGGCCUUCUUCAUACACGCGGCAUGGCUGCAUCAGGCUUGCGCCCAUUGUGCAAUAUUCCCCACUGCUGCCUCCCGUAGGAGUCUGGACCGUGUCUCAGUUCCAGUGUGGCUGGUCAUCCUCUCAGACCAGCUAGGGAUCGUCGCCUUGGUGAGCCGUUACCUCACCAACAAGCUAAUCCCAUCUGGGCACAUCUGAUGGCAAGAGGCCCGAAGGUCCCCCUCUUUGGUCUUGCGACGUUAUGCGGUAUUAGCCACCGUUUCCAGUAGUUAUCCCCCUCCAUCAGGCAGUUUCCCAGACAUUACUCNNNNNNNNNNNNNNNNNNNNCCCGUCCGCCACUCGUCAGCAAAGCAGCAAGCUGCUUCCUGUUACCGUUCGACUUGCAUGUGUUAGGCCUGCCGCCAGCGUUCAAUCUGAGCCAUGAUCAAACUCUUCAAUUUAAAAGUUUGAUGCUCAAUGAAUUAAACUUCGUAAUGAAUUACGUGUU